UUUUCAAAAGCAUAAAACAUCUCAUGCAUCAUGACAUGGCAUGAGGCUAACUUGUUUUCAGGUUAAUUAUCCUCCCGAUAUAGUCAAAUAAAGGUUCAUUCAGACAGACGCCCUCAGCAGUUACAUUCGAGAUUCAGAUGCAUCUUUCAGAUAUAACCCAUGUGAAUAUUCGUUCUGACAAGCAUUCUGAUAUCCUCCUAAUGAUGGCAUCUUUAAG
rnacentral:lncRNA from 1 species